GACGAACGCUGGCGGCGUGCCUAAUACAUGCAAGUCGAACGCUGAAGGAGGAGCUUGCUCUUCUGGAUGAGUUGCGAACGGGUGAGUAACGCGUAGGUAACCUGCCUGGUAGCGGGGGAUAACUAUUGGAAACGAUAGCUAAUACCGCAUAAAAUUGAUUAUUGCAUGAUAGUCAAUUAAAAGGUGCAAUUGCAUCACUACCAGAUGGACCUGCGUUGUAUUAGCUAGUUGGUGAGGUAACGGCUCACCAAGGCAACGAUACAUAGCCGACCUGAGAGGGGGAUCGGCCAAACUGGGACUGAGACACGGCCCAGACUCCUACGGGAGGCAGCAGUAGGGAAUCUUCGGCAAUGGACGGAAGUCUGACCGAGCAACGCCGCGUGAGGGAAGAAGGUUUUCGGAUCGUAAAGCUCUGUUGUAAGAGAAGAGCGAGUGUGAGAGUGGAAAGUUCACACUGUGACGGUAUCUUACCAGAAAGGGACGGCUAACUACGUG
rnacentral:rRNA from 1 species